GGCCCGUGGAAUGCGGUAUGCAUCUGCUUGAUGUUAUACCGUUCAAUAUACAGUAUGCGCAGACAGCCCCGGUUCGACUCCGGGCCGGGCCA